AUGCCUCACUCUGUGUGUCAGCACACGUGCGACCAAUGGUUGCAUGGAGAACUUCCGCCACCCCCAUAUGCACGCACAGACAUACACACAUGUGAGGUGGAUGUGAUGGAAGUCGCCGAUGUUCGUCCUCCCUGCGCAUCCCCAGCGAGCGAGAGAGGAUUGUGUUCUAUGCGCUGUGGCCCCCUGCCUCCCUCUCUCGGACCUUACUUGAUGCGUGUGCCUUUCUACGAGCAAUGACGACCUGGGCGUAACUGUAAGCAACAAAAACUUGACGCGCACGCACACAGGAACCCAGGGGGAUGGAGAACACAAAGGAUUGGUGAACCUCGUUGGAGGGGAGGGCGAGUGGCAGCACCUCAUCUAAGGUGGUGGUGAUGGUGGUGGGGGGCCAGUCUUUCCUUUCCUUUCUUCGUCAGCAGGGGCAUGGGCCGACGUGAGGGUGCUGCGACAGGCUGUCCUUGGCGCGCCCAACGAAAUGCGCCAGCGAAGCUUGCGUGUGCGUGCCUGGCUGCAGUGGCAUUCGACCGGAAAGAAAGACGAGGCCCAUCACUGACAAGGACAGCUGUACGCGCACAUGCUUUGUCUGAUGUGGACACCCAUUUCCGCACAGGCACGCGACCGACAAGCAUGCGCCACCCCUCCUCGCCACCUCAGAGAGGGAUGGAUGCGACGCACUCGCACACAUGCACGUGAGCGCACAUAUGUUUCUUGAUGCCUUUAUCACUGUGAGAGGGGAGAACGCGCAUGUAGGCGGACACACACUCGCCCACUGCUGGAUGUGCUGGUCUGUGGAGAGAGGACGAUGGAGGAGGGUGGACGAUGCCAUUGUCGGCCCGCCUGUCUUCGUUCCUUCAUCCCGAUUCUCGACACCUCCCUCUUCCUCGCGCGGCUCGGUGCGCUGCUUUUCGUCUAUCAUCGUCCGUCUCCUUCUCUUCUCUCCCAUCGCCGCCGCCGCCGCCUCCUUUUGUUGCUUUCCUUUGCUUCGCCCGUUUCGUUCAG
rnacentral:misc_RNA from 1 species